GCACUGCUGAGGAGUCCCGCUAUGGGACGAAACGGCCGUCCAGUGC
rnacentral:hammerhead_ribozyme from 1 species